AGGCGGGUCCUGCGUGACUUUGCGUGCGAACCAUGUCAGGCGGGGAACCGAGCAGCAUUAAGCACUUACAGAGGGCACAGCAGGUAACCCGUCUUAU
rnacentral:SRP_RNA from 1 species